CACGUAGGGCGCAAGCGUUGUCCGGAAUUAUUGGGCGUAAAGAGCUCGUAGGCGGUCUGUCGCGUCGGCUGUGAAAUCCCGGGGCUCAACCCCGGGCCUGCAGUCGAUACGGGCAGACUAGAGUGCGGUAGGGGAGACUGGAAUUCCUGGUGUAGCGGUGAAAUGCGCAGAUAUCAGGAGGAACACCGGUGGCGAAGGCGGGUCUCUGGGCCGUAACUGACGCUGAGGAGCGAAAGCGUGGGGAGCAAACAGG
rnacentral:rRNA from 1 species